rnacentral:rRNA from 2 species
UAGGGAAUCUUCGGCAAUGGACGAAAGUCUGACCGAGCAACGCCGCGUGAGUGAAGAAGGUUUUCGGAUCGUAAAACUCUGUUGUUAGAGAAGAACAAGGACGUUAGUAACUGAACGUCCCCUGACGGUAUCUAACCAGAAAGCCACGGCUAACUACGUGCCAGCAGCCGCGGUAAUACGUAGGUGGCAAGCGUUGUCCGGAUUUAUUGGGCGUAAAGCGAGCGCAGGCGGUUUCUUAAGUCUGAUGUGAAAGCCCCCGGCUCAACCGGGGAGGGUCAUUGGAAACUGGGAGACUUGAGUGCAGAAGAGGAGAGUGGAAUUCCAUGUGUAGCGGUGAAAUGCGUAGAUAUAUGGAGGAAAACCAGUGGCGAAGGCGGCUCUCUGGUCUGUAACUGACGCUGAGGCUCGAAAGCGUGGGGAGCAAACAGG